CGUGGGUAAUUGCACAAUGGGCGCAAGCCUGAUGCAGCCAUGCCGCGUGUAUGAAGAAGGCCUUCGGGUUGUAAAGUACUUUCAGCGGGGAGGAAGGGAGKAAAGUUAAUACCUUUGCKCAUUGAGUUACCCGCAGAAGAAGCACCGGCUAACUSCGUGCCAGCCGCCGCGGUAAAC
rnacentral:rRNA from 1 species